CAGUAGCCGCGGGAAUACAGAGGGUGCGAGCGUUAAUCGGAUUUACUGGGCGUAAAGCGUGCGUAGGCGGCUAAUUGAGUCGGAUGUGAAAUCCCCGAGCUUAACUUUGGAAUUGCAUUCGAUACUGGUUAGCUAGAGUGUGGGAGAGGAUGGUAGAAUUCCAGGUGUAGCGGUGAAAUGCGUAGAGAUCUGGAGGAAUACCGAUGGCGAAGGCAGCCAUCUGGCCUAACACUGACGCUGAGGUACGAAAGCAUGGGGAGCAAACAGGAUUAGAUACCCGUGUAGUCCCUGUCUCUUAUAC
rnacentral:rRNA from 1 species